AAUACAUAGGAAAUUUGUUUCCACAAGGAAAUAAGUGCUCUCAUUUUUCUUGAAAUGUGUGGCUCUCUUGAUUCAUCUUUUGUUUUAUUGUUUUUAGCAAAAAGAUGGGUAGAGGCUUGUUUACCAAAAAAAAAAAAAAAAAAAAAAAAAAGCCAGCAAUCAGAUAAAAAACAGUGAUGACGGUCAGGGACAACAGAGAGUGUUGAGAACUGUGGCCAGUUCACCCUUACAGCCCAGUCCAGUGAAGGCAGCUGUGACUGUUCAGGUCAUGAGUCGCCUGAUGGAAAGUAUGUCUGUCUUGCCGUGUCUUUGAUUUUUCAGAAGAAGUUGGAAACCUAGAUUUUUAUGUGAAAUCAUCUCUAUUUUUUUCAGCUUAUUAAAGGUACAGUUGACAACCAAAAUGAUAAUAAAGACGUCAUGUCGCUGCAUGUGAUCCUUGCUGGGAAGGAAAGGGACCAUGGUGUCAUGAGAGGGGCUUUGGGUGACCUGACCUGGGUCCUGGACCAAGAUCUGGGGAUGAGGAGAGACACAGAAGAAUCCUCGUGGAGGUGACGUUUCACCUGAGACAUGCCAGGUACCUGGUCUGAUUGCCAAGCAUCCAAGGAGGCCCCUGGGCGUGUUUGGAGGCUGGAGCCAUCAGCCUCAGGUGAGCUCCAAGCGCUUUACCAAAGCCGCUCCCAGGUCAGGGGGAGGGUCAGGCCCUGCCCAGCUCCCUGCCCACUCUGCCCAGGUGAGCUGUGUGUGUGUGAAGAGGUGGUUCUGGAGGAUUCCAGCUCUGGCACGUAAACUCCAGAGGGGCCGGGAUAAGGUGUUUUAUUGGAUUCACUGUGCACAGUGCCUGGUGCCUGCUUGGGCCAGGGCAGGUGUGCAGGUAUUGAGUUGGUGUCAGAUGAUGAGCCUUCUUCAGUGGCUCUGUGACAAGGAGGGAAAUUGGCCCAAGGGCUCUCCUGGUCACACCUCCCCAAAUUCACACAUGCUUUCCAGCUAUUAUUUCAUUCAUUCAGUUAUUCGGUGAUGACUUACUAUGUACCCGCUCUAUUAGUUAUACAUUGCUGAGUCACAAACUGGCGAACUUAGUGGCUUAAACAACACUCAUUAUUUCCUGGUUUCUCUGGGUCAGGAAUGGGCACCACUUUUCUGGGUGCUCUGCUUAGGGAUCUCACAGGCUGCAAUCAAGGUGUCAGUGAAAACUGGGGUCUCAUCUGAAGGCUUGACUGGGGAAUGACCUGUUGCCAAGCUCACUCACAUGGUGCUUGACAGGAUUUGGUUUUUGGGGGAUGGUCCUGCUGAGAGCCUCAGUCCCUAGCUGGCUAUUGGCUCAGGGGCAAUUUCAGUACCUUGUCAUAGGGGUCCCCCCAGCAUGUUCUUUUUUUUUUUUUUUUGUCUUUUUGGCAUUUUCUUAGGCUGUUCCCAUGGCAUAUGGAGGUUCCCAAGCUAAGGGUCGAAUCAGAGCGGUAGCUGCCAGCCUACGCCAGAGCCACAGCAAUGUGGGAUCCGAGCCGCAUCUGUGACCUACACCAUAGCUCACGGCAACGCCGGAUCCUUAACCCACUGAGCAAGGCCAGGGAUUAAACCUGCAACCUCAUGGUUCCUAGUCAGAUUCGUUAACCUCUGAGCCAUGCGGGAACUCCAUAACUUUGUCAAGUUUAGCAAAGGAGAUAGUCUUCUAGCAAGGUGGAAGCAGACUGCAGCACCAGGAUGCAGGAUCCAGUGUUGCAGCAGCUACGACUUGGAUCUGAUCCCUGGCCUGGGAACUGCAUAUGCCAAGGGGUGGCCAAAAAAAAAAAAAAAAAAAACGAAAAGAUGGAAGUGUAAAUUUUUAUAACAUAAUCAUGAAUCAACACUCCAUCAAUUUUGAGAUGUUCUAUCGAUGAGAAGCAGGUGACCAAAGGGGAAGGAAUUACACAAGAUGGUGCAUCAGGAGAUAAGGUUCUUUGGGGUCAUCUCAGGAGGUGCCUACUUCAGGGGAUUUUGGGGGACAAACUCUAAGAUGAUCCCCAGUGACCCCCAUCUCCUGGUAUUCACGUCACGUAUGAAUACCGCCCCCCAAGCCCCCAAGUGUGGAUGGGACCUCUGACUUGAUUCUCAGCAAUAAAACA
rnacentral:lncRNA from 1 species